rnacentral:rRNA from 1 species
GACGAACGCUGGCGGCGUGCUUAACACAUGCAAGUCGAACGGAAAGGCCCUGCUUUUGUGGGGUGCUCGAGUGGCGAACGGGUGAGUAACACGUGAGUAACCUGCCCUUGACUUUGGGAUAACUUCAGGAAACUGGGGCUAAUACCGGAUAGGAGCUCCUGCUGCAUGGUGGGGGUUGGAAAGUUUCGGCGGUUGGGGAUGGACUCGCGGCUUAUCAGCUUGUUGGUGGGGUAGUGGCUUACCAAGGCUUUGACGGGUAGCCGGCCUGAGAGGGUGACCGGCCACAUUGGGACUGAGAUACGGCCCAGACUCCUACGGGAGGCAGCAGUCGAGAAUAUUGCACAAUGGGCGGAAGCCUGAUGCAGCAACGCCGCGUGCGGGAUGACGGCCUUCGGGUUGUAAACCGCUUUCGCCUGUGACGAAGCGUGAGUGACGGUAAUGUGUAAAGAAGCACCGGCUAACUACGUG